GACGAACGCUGGCGGCGUGCUUAACACAUGCAAGUCGAACGGAAAGGCCUGCUUUCCCUUGUGGAUUGCGGGUACUCGAGUGGCGAACGGGUGAGUAACACGUGAGUGAUCUGCCCCCAACUUGGGUAUAAGCCUGGGAAACUGGGUCUAAUUCCCGAUAGGACUGCAGGGUUGUGCCUGUGGUGGAAAACGAUUUUCUAGUGGUUGGGGAUGAGCUCGCGGCCUAUCAGCUUGUUGGGUGGGUAAUGGCCUACCAAGGCGGCGACGGGUAGCCGGCCUGAGAGGGUGGACGGCCACAUUGAGACUGAGAUACGGCCCCGACUCCUGCGGGAGGCAGCAGUGGGGAAUAUAGCACAAUGGGCGGAAGCCUGAUGCAGCGACGCCGCGUGGGGGAUGACGGCCUUCGGGUUGUAAACUCCUUUCGACCGCGAGGAAGCCACCUGGUUGGAAGGGUGGUGACGGUAGUGGUAGAAGAAGCACCGGCUAACUACGUG
rnacentral:rRNA from 1 species